CGAACUCGACAAAAAGGCACUCUGAAUUUCGAAAAGCUUAUUCGAGAAAACUAGAGUACAAAUCCACCCCUCUUGAACAGAGAUCAGAUUGUGCCGAACGCAAUUCCUUUUCCAAACGAAAACGAAAAAGAUCAGGCGAAGAAAGAAGUGGGUCUGUUCAGAAUCCGAUCGAGAAGAGAAAAGAGAUGAGAUGUGUGGAUCAUAUUGCUACUUCGAAUUUGGAGGAAGCCAUGGCUGAGGUGAGGAAGCUUCUCAUCUCAGGCUUGCCUCCCAUCGUGUCGAAGUAGCUCUCUCUCUCUCGGCACCACGCAAAAGGUGUGUCGUCGUUUCGUCUCGUUACCGAGAUUUCACCACACACCCGUGUCUGAGAGUGCCCCCCGAUAAUUUUUUUGUUCGAAUCAAGAAAUCAAAGAGAAAUAAAAGGGACGAUGAUGGAGGAAAUAUUCACUGAAAUGUCGCCGGCUAAUUGUGUCAUGAAACGACGAGAGUUUUCGAGUUUCAGGGAUCUUCAACCGGCGAGAUUCAUGUCGGCUCCACGCGGCAGACCGGUCGCCAUUGAUCGGCGCCGACUGUUGACUCGAUUCUUGGAGCCAAACCCUGUGUAUCUCCGACUCAAAGGACUCAACCCACGACAACAUUCAAUUCGAACGGGCAAAAGAAAA